GUGGCCCUGGGGUACUGCAGAGAGCUCUCAGGCAACCGCAAGAGAACGGCGCCGCCGAGCCUGUAGACAAAGUUAAAGAAUGGAAAGAAGACGUGGAACGGUGCCAAACGGGUGUAAUUAGGCAGUUCAUUAACACCUUCGGCGAGGGAACCGGGGACAAGUGACCUUAAGAGCGACACGGGUACAGACUGUCCAGCUUCUCCACGCGAUCAUCCUGUCCCCUGGACAGGAUAUCAUCAUAUACUGUAAGUUCAUUAUGGAGACACUACAGUAUAGAUGAUGUACUAUCCAGGGUGUCAUUCCUUCCACCUGCACACCCAUCUUCUGAGAGAGAGAGAGAGAGAGAGAGAGAGAGAGAGAGCGAGAGAGAGAGAGGGGGGCAGAUAAACCGUUACCAUUACUGAGUUUAGUAAUGGUAAGGGUUCUUCUGCUUCUGCUCGAUGUCGUUGCUCCGUCAGAGGUGUUUCACUACAGUCAAGGGUCGGGACGGCUGAGAGCGUGCUGCAUGUUGUACGUUGACGCAAUUAAAUGACAUUUGUCACACCAGUCACUUAUGUGCUCUUUUCAAAUGUUUAUUACAAGUCCCUCUGUAAGGGAAGAUGCAGACAGUUUGUGUAUAUGUGCAGUUACUCAAUAAACGCACCUGAAUGAGUAACCCUGAGUCAACAAUUUCAUUUGCAUACAACAUACAGACUAAAGAAUGUGGGGGUUUUCGGCUCGAACGGUUGGUCUAAAAUUGUGUGACCUCACUGAACAUACAAGUGACACAGCAAAAAAGGUGGGAGGGCGUGGAGACGGACGGACAUCUUGCUUCGGGCUGGCUGAGCCACGAGUCCGCAAUUCAUCACCACGGCCUGGAUAAGGAGCCGCUGCCAGCCACGCUUGAUGGACGGCGGAGGGCACAAGAACAAACGCAUCGCCAUCUUGUGCCCGUUUUAGUGGAAGGUUACUGCUCCAUUUUGUGUUCUGUUAGAAGGGUAAUCCAGCCCUCUGGGGCUGUACUUUUAGUUAAGCUUCAGCAGCUCUCAAAGGCAGAGCGCGAGGGUGGGUAGGUGUGGGUGUCAGGGGGCUGUUGUGCUAGUGUGCGUGUGUGUUUGUCUGUCUGUCAGAGAUAGAAAGUAAGAUUUAGCAAUGCAAUAUAAUUGUCAUUCCAAUAAAGCUAAAUUAAAACUUGAAGAGAGAGAGAGAGGAGAGAGAAAGAGAGAGAGAUAUUGUACAGCCUGGACUGGGAAGUGUUUUAAAACACAGAAAGAGUGUACCAGUACACCAACUAACUCUAUUACAACAAAUAAUAUGGACAAAUGAUGACAAUAACUGCCUGCGAUCUACAGAGAGGUUACUGUCUGCAAACACGAGCAACUCUGGGUUCUGUAGAUAACUGCCCCCCCCACCCAAAAAUAACAGUAAACUCUAUAUGAACCUCAUCAGUUGGCCUGCAUCUUGUUCAGCUCUGUGACAGUGUGAACUUAAAUCAUGAUGUAUCCCCACUGCUAGAAUGGGGACAAUAGCUGAACAACGGCUUCACUAAUGGUCGUGCAGGGACACGGGAUGAAGAGAACUCGAGAAAACUCGGAAAAGGGGAGAGAAAAAAAAAAAAAAAGCAAAAAAAAAAAA